rnacentral:miRNA from 1 species
AGCAUCGAUUGUUGGCAAAG